UACAUUCGAGCCGUUAUGUUUUGUUUAAUAUGUUUUCGAAGCGACAGUUCGUUCAAUGCAAUUUUUUAAUAGUUUUGAGGUGAAAAACAGAAUUUGUAUUUUUUUGCCCAAUCGGUAAUUUUAUACAGAUAUUUGCGACAUUUAUUUAUAUGCGGUUCUUAGAGGACACUGAUUAAUCGCUUUCAAACACAAAUAAAAUAAAAACUAGUACCAGUUAUUUAUUUUCCAAAUAAGGUUUUAAGACCCUAAAUAAAUCAUUCUAAAUUGUACAAAAUUUUCCACUAACCAUGAUCUUAUCGUUCUGAAAGGGUUAAACGUGUUCUGUGCAUAAAUUUGGAUUUUGAUGCUUUUUGUGCUUUUUAAUUUAAUUUGGCAGGUGGCCAUGGUACAGUACAGAGGAAUAGGUACACUAGGUACAAUAGGUACGACUGCACAGCCCGGCAUCGUGGGUUCGAGCCCAGCGGUGGGCUCAGUAGUUUUUCUAAAAUCGAAAGCUUAACUGAAGCCACCUGUGCGAUAACACUAGACAAUAUUCAUCGAUGUCUCCUUCCUCUGUACCAAGUAGUUCUAUGUUAUAUGUUCUUUCUUUGUUUCUAUCUGUCUUUCUCUUUGUCAUUGUCUGGUGUUGUCUCAGCCAAAUGGCCUCAGUUGCCGCGCUGUUAAGUGUCAGAACUUCGUACAUUUAUGUACUUUGUACUAUGAAUAUAAUAAUAAUAAUAAUUUAAUUUGUUUGUUUUGUGUUGCUUGGGAAUUCAAAUGAUUUAAAAUAAAAUAUUCAAAAACUAAAAGAAGCUUUUAGGUAUAAGAUGUGGUUGUUAGGUACUUGGAAAGGAUUAUUCUCAAGUCCGCUAGAUACAUUGGAAGUUAAUCAAAUAUAAUUAAAUGUUGUUUUUACAAUUUAUGGAAUUCUAAGCUAUGUUUUGAUGCACAAAUUUUCAUCUUAUUGAUGCUGUUUCUACUUGUUUUUAUUAGGGUAUUUCAAACACUGAUCAUUUUUUUUGUGCCUCCAUCAUUAUUAAUGUUGUUGAUGAUUUAAAAAAGGCAUUGGAUGAAUAUCAUGUCAGUUUUUUUGUUCUCUUAGAUGUCUGUAAAGCAUUUGACAUUGAAUAACUCCCAAAUUUACCAAAUCUUAAACCUUCAGAAAAGUACAUUUUGGUUCUUUUGGCAAAUAUUUUCUGACCAGUUAUCAAAAUUUUAAUUAAGUUUAGUAUUUGGCUUAUUAACUUAAUAUAUUUCAAGCAACAAAAAAGAUAUCGGAAGGAUUUAAACAGUUUUAGGCACCGUUGCAAAUUUAGCCACGAAAUCAGCCAAAAUUACGUUUUUUUUUGUAUUUUAUUGCGGUAAUAUUUAAAAAACGUAGACCAAUCAAACUUUUUUGACUUCGGAUUCGAGUUCAGCAUCCGAAAAGAAAUUCAGAAAAUUAUAUUUUGGUUCUUGUGGUAAAAACCUUGUUGACUAGUGUAAUUUAACGCUAUUGAACAAUAAUAUUAUAUCUAUUUUUAAUAUAACCCACUCACAUUAACCAUCAAGAUUUGGUUCCUCAAACAGAUUCCUUAUACUGACACCUCCGCGCUUUAAUUAAUUAAUUAAAGAUAGCAUGUAAGGGCCUAACCCUUGCUUUCCCGGUUGAGUAAGGAACUUCUAACUUACUUUCAGUAUAAUUAAGUUUGAUAUCGAUUCGUUAUAAAUUUAAAAAAAUAUUUAAAUGUAUAGUAUAUUUCGGAUUAUUGAUAUUUUUUGUCUGAUAGAAUUGAAAUAAGAAAUAAAUAUUUAAUGAAAAUGGUCAAAUGGUUGUUCAAAGGUAGUCUUGCUAUAUGUUGCAGAGACACGGACUUUGACGAAAGCGGAUGAAAACACCUUGGAUUGAUUUGAGAGAAAACAAAAUGGGCACUAAAGGAGCCAAGGGCAUAUGGACAACAAUGAUCCGGCCCGAAAUGUUUUUGACAUCAACCCAGAGGGACGACGCAGAAGAGAAAGAACUCGUUUAAGGAGGCGCACGCAAGUGGGAAGGCCCUCAAUCAAAUAGGCGUGCGAGACUGGAACAGGUAAAGACAGAGCUGGCUGGAGAACCUUGUUGAUUGAGGUCCAAAUCCUCAAUGGAUUGUCGCCUUGUAGCACUGAUCACCUUAAGUGAGUUGAGACAUACAUAUAUAGUCAAUAUUAUGGUUAAAGUUGCUAAGCUACAGCUUCUUUGAUAACGAGCUAAGUACACGUUUGGAGUUAUUAAUGACACUUAGUUAUUCUCAGCCAGAAUAUACCUAUUCCAAAUAAUGGCAGAUAUGCACAAAAAGAACUAAUUGCUUUUACUUGAAAAAUUGUCAAGCAUACGGGCCAAUGGGUACCUAUUUUUUUCCUACCUCUUUCGCAUUAAACAGAUCAGAGAUUGCAAACUGUGUUUUUCCUACAACUUUGUAGUUACUCAUUAUACAUUUUAAACGCAAGACAAAAACAAAUUAUAAAAGGAUUUGUUUUGUGCUGCGAAUAAAAUGAAAAUAUGAGUUGAUACUGAGUUGUAGAAAAACUACCUACAGUCCUGAAUAAAAAAGGCAAAUAAGAAAUACAAGACUUAAUUAUAAGUUGUAUGUAUAAGCAUAGCUCCUCGUAAUACCCACUCCCUGAAUACAAUGGAGCAAAUAUAGCUGGAGUUUGUAGUACUGCGAAAACCCUACAAAAGAUGUCUAUUGCUGAGGUAACACUUGAAAUUUCUCUAUUUCAACCCCGUAAAGUUAGUAACCUAAAUCUUACAAUCGCCCACACAUCGAGAUAAUUUAUUCUAACGAUUUAUAUUUCUUUCUUAUAAACCGAUCUGAAACGACGAAGUAGAGAUCCACCUAAAGAAGAAUAAUACAACAAAUUGACUGCAUAAAAUAAUAUCCCUUUAAACGGAAAGCACGCAAUUUGUUUCUUUUUCAAAUUCACUUCCAUGCACUUGGUAUUAUUCAUGCAUGUGAUGGAGAAGUAUA